CGUAAACGUAGGAUUUACGUCUGACUUAAGAUUAGAGUUACGUACUCGUGAAUUGGUAUUUACAAAACCGUUCGUAGCCGCAAACGUAACUUACGAUGUACGAUUGCACGUACGCGUGCGCAGUGGCUAUUUUCACUUCGAAGCGUAAAAAGUGUGAAUUUGCUCAUUUACUUUGAAUUCCCUGCGCUACCGCCGCAUUAUGACGAAAAAGAACACAGAAUUUUGUGAGAAAGCAACGAAUUUCAACGUAUACGUAUGCCUGCCAACGGCAUGUCGAUCAACUGUACCGUUAUUCAGUGUUGUUUACAAAUCCAAAUGGAAGGUUCAUCAAAUUUAACGCAUUUGACUUGUGCAUGGAUCUGCGAUGCUGUAGGUGUUCAAAAAGAAGUCAGCAUGGACUGACAAGGUCAUAAAGGUGGUCAAGAAAUAAAUUGCCAACAGACAGCAGCAUUCCUUGAUUUAGAUGCAUUUCUCUUCAUGUCCUCUCCUGAAAGAUUUUCCAUGAUGCCUCAGGGUUAGGAUUGGGAUGCAAGAUGUACAGUACAUAUAUAUGAUGUCUAUGGGUACAUUGCAGUAAUGGCCUGAAAAAUCUUUUGCGAAACCGAGAAAUGUUCAUCUUCCAUUGCCAUGAUUGUGUAAAAGGACGAGCAGAGGAAUGAUUCAAAAAUAUAUGGCAGGAUUGAGAAUCUAACCCACGACCCGUAGUCUGGUACUCUACCCACUGAUCAAUCCAUGCUGAUGGUCCAUCUGCUACAUUGAUGUCAUCUUAUAUAUUUAUUUAUUCAUUGAUAUCAUGGACAUUUAAAAAUUGACAGUAAAAUGAAAAAAAGUUUGAUAUUCAGCAAAAUAGAAUUUGUUACAAUACAUGUUUAAGAAAUUAAGUACAUGUACAUGCAUUGUUAUGCAUACAAUUAUGUACAUAUAAUUAUAUUUGUUAAUAGAUAAAUUUUUAGAUGAAUUUUCAUGUUGUUAUUGAUAUUGACAUGUACAUGUAUUACUUCCAUUUCUAGAAUGAUUUUAACAUCUUGAUUUUAAAAAGAUGACAUAAUAAAUAAAUCUUAAAUA